rnacentral:lncRNA from 1 species
AGCUCAAAUAUGGGCAAGGUUAAAGAAGGCAGUGGUGACACAGAAAAACUGAUGCAGGAGCUAAUCAAGAUAACUAAAGCCAUGCUAGAGCACCAGUCCAGUUUGACUCUUAGAUACAUUCUGAAUGCCGGUGCCUUCCCCUUAACUGCCAAACAGAGCACUGGCUUGCAUUCUCUGGUACACUUUUAUGUUGCUAUUUUAUACACAAUAUUCAGAAUAUAAUAAAACAUUAUGAUAUGUGACAUAGCAGGAAAAUAUGCUCUCAACCAAGAGAAAAAAAAAUCAAUAUAAAUAGAUUUAGAAAUUUCCCAGAUACUAGAAUUAGCAGUUUCAGAACUUAACAAAACUGUGAGAAAUAUGGUAAGAAACUUAUAAGAAAAGAUGAAUAAAAUGAGGAAAGAGAUGAACUAUUUGGGGAAAAAGUGGGAAUUCUAAAAUAAAAAAGAAUCAAACUCCUAAAAGAGAAAUUCGCAAUAUCUGAAAACAAAACUUCUUUGUUUGGGCAUGAAAGCAAGUUGGAUAGUGCAGAAGAAAUACUUGGUAAACUCAAAGAUGCAUUAAUGGAAAAUUUCUAGCUGAAGGACACAGUGAAAAAAAGGCUGAAAAAAAUAAAUAGAGCAUAUGCAACUUCUGGGAAUUUUAGAGAUACUAUGUGUGUAUUUGGAGUCCCAAAAGGAGAAAAAAAGAAAGUGUGAGGCAGAAAACUCAUAAUGGCCAAGAUGUUUUAAAAAUUUAACAACAACCAAAAAAAAAAAAAAUCAGUCCACAGAUUGCAAAGCUUAGCAAAUACCAAGUAACAUGCUCCAAGUAGAAUAAAGAAAACCAUCCCUGGACAUAUCAUAGUCAGGUUGCUAAAAGCCACAGAAAAAGAGACAAAUUCAAAACAUUUGGGGGAAAAGACCCAUUAUAUACAUAUACAAAGAUAUAACUAUAAGAGUAAUAGUUGACUUCUCUUUGGAAGCACUACAAGUCCAAAGAUAGUGGAAUAAACUGAUUCAUCCAAAUAUUAGUGAAGACAUGCAGCAAAUAGAAUCCUUAUCUACAUCUAUUACUGGGGUAGUUGUAAAUGAUACUCCAAUCUUCAAGUUUUUCAUGUACAGUUCAGCUUUUAUUUAUCAAUGACCUAGACAGUAUGAUACUAGUUGUCUACCUGGGGAAAUGAAAAUAUUUGUCCACAAAAUGCCUUGCAUAACAAUUUCUAUUGCCGAAAUUGAAAGCCAUGAUCAAUAGGGGAAUGGGUAAAACAAAGCAAAACAAAAAACACAACUUUGAUAUAAUCAUAUAACGUGUAGAGCAGAAACAUGCGAAACUGACUGAUUCAUCUAAGAAACUCCCGCCUAGGCCAGCUGAACCCAGAUGACUUUCAGCUACACACACAUGAUAAGUGAGUAUUUAUUUAUUUUAGGGCUGCACCCAUGGCAUACAGAGGUUCCCAGGCUAGGGGUCGAAUCAGAGCUGUAGCCUGGCCUAUGCCACAGCCACAGAAAUGCCAAAUCUGAGCCGCAUCUGUGACCUACGCCACAGCUCAUGGCAACGCCGGAUCCUUAAACCACUGAGCGAGGCCAGGGAUGGAACCUAUGACCUCAUGGAUACUAGUUAGAUUCAUUUCCGCUGGGCCACAACAGGAACUCUGAUAAAUGAGUUGUUUUAAGGACUUUAUGCAACAUUAUUGUAGCAUUAAACAAUGCUACAGUAAACUCAGUAACUUGUGCCCAUCUUCCUGUUAGACCCAUAAUCCACUUGGUUGUUAUUUUGCAAACAGUCAUGAAGUUGUAGGUAUUCUUCUAAUUAUGAACAUUUGUUUCACUAACAUCCAAUUUAUGCCCUGCUGUUCCAUUUCGAUGUCUUCCUGCACACAAGGUAACUUGUUUCAGUGCCAAAUUAUGGUGUAAUCUGUUUGAAGACAUUUACACUAGCAAUGCCGCUUACACAGAGCCAAGGAUUCACACACGUGAAGAGAGGUUGGUGAACAGUUUGUGCACGCACAGGCACCGACUACCAUGUCACAACUGUUGCUUGGCCAAUGGCCACCGUAAAGUACCAUCAAUUAUAGGAAACAUUCCAAUCCCAAGAUGUUAAAAUGUAAAAUAAAUAUGCUUCUUAGAGUCAAUGGAAAAUGGUACAUCUCCAGUCGCCACAUUCACAACCUAAACUGCUGUUGCUGGAGUUGGAACGCUGGGUUUCUCUUUCUGGAAAAGAUUUGUUCUUUUCAAAAGAACUGAUUUUAAGAAAGGCCUUAGACCUAGACUUCUCUCUCUCUUUCAUUCCUCUUUUUGUUGAAUAUCUUUCAGCUCCUACUAUAUAUUCUUUCUCCUUCAGGGUUGAGAUGGCCUCUAACUUUGGAUGAUUUUGCUCUGUAGUUGUAAAUUGAGGGAUUUGGAAUCAGUUUCUGGUGCACAUUGCUACCUACAGGUGCAGGCAAGCAGAGCUCUUACUCUGGGCUCCAUGAGUAAAUACUGCUGGGGUUCACUGGCCAACAUCUCUACAGGGCAAGGAGCUAACUGGGUUAAAGAGACAUGUCCACCUAAAGCCCAGGCCUCUUCCCCAACCACACCAUGCUUCAAGAACUGGGAGGGUGGCCCAGGUAGUUGAUGUCUUCAUCUCUUGGUCUGAGGAGUGGACAAGGGAUGUCUGUUUACAAGGGUAUGGAUAGAGUUUGCUGAUGUGACUGACAAAGUGUAUGUACAUUAGGCCUCUUGCAGUGCGGGUCAUGGAUGGUGGAAAGAGAAGAGGGCGGGUGAGAGGCUCACAGCCUACUUUCCCUGCCCCACUAGGUUCCAGCAUGGAAGUCUCUGCUAAUUCUCAAUUUGAGUCUGGCCUUCUAGAUCAUUGUAAAGGUGUAGGUUUCAAACCAAAAGGAUAAUAAAAAUAAAAAUAAAUUAAAAUUUUAAAAAUUAUAUUUAUUAGCUUGAUUUGUAUCAUUUAAACAUUAGUGUUGAUGGCGUAUGAGCCUCUACUUGUUUUUCUCCAAAAUCCCACAAAUAUUAGUUUCAGGCACACAGAUUAGGAAUAUUGAAGGACCCAUAACUAGUGGAAUCAACAAUUUAUUCACAUCCACUCAAUGUAUGAAAAAAUUAGCUUUUAAAGUAUUUUAUAAUAACCGAUCAUCUGUUCUCCCCUAACCCAUACUCAGUCAGAUGGCAAAAUAUGGAAGCUUUAGAAUUUCUAUGUGAAGGUGGAUGACUUAGCUCUUUAGGCAGUGUUGACAGAUAUAUGUUUGAUCACUCUCCUUCCAUUCCUUUUCAAUAAUAAUAAUAACGACUGAUAUUUUUGAGAACUCUGUGUCAAGUGUUGUGUGAGGAUUUCAUGUAUACUUUUAAUCCUCUAACAAAAUGAGGUGGGUAUUGUUAGUAGUACAACUUAAGGAAUGAAAUUAAGAUACAAACUUGUCCAAAUAUGCACAGCUCAAAGGUAGAGAAACCAGAAAUAAAAACCAAGGUAGACUGGAUUCAGAAUUCAUAUUCUUUAUUGCAGUGCUGAUCUGCUUCUCUCAGGUGGUGUCUGCAGGCACUGUUUCUUGGGACAUUGUAUUAGCAUCCUUUCUGAAACCCUCUCAGCCUAUAGGCACUUCUCCACCCUGAGCCUCCCUGCACAGGCCACAUCCCUUGCAGAUACUGCAAUAGUAUCCCUGUGCCCUACUGGAUGAAAAGGAUGAGGAGUUUUCCUACAGGCUUGUGUCCUUCCUGCCUAAGCCAGGGCAGCUUGCCCUGAUGCUCCCAGAUCUUUCUAUACCCCUCCCAGAUGUUUACAUCAGGACACAUCCCCAGGGAGGAGACAAGGACACAUGUAUUGCAACUCACUUCAUAUCAGUGCAUCUCUUUUUCCAACUUUUCCAGGGUUCACUGAUAUGAUGUCUACUUCAUUUCUCUAUCAAUAAGGCAUCCCCUUUCUCCUUCAUAUGCUUAUUCACCACCUCUUCUCUUUUAAAAGAAUACAUGUUUCAAUUGUGGUAGAAUACACAAAGCAUCAAACUUAACAUCUUUUUUUUUUUUUUUUGGCUGUGCCUAAGGCAUUAAGUUCCCAGGCCACAGAUGGAACCCUAGCCACAGCAGUGACAAGGCCAAAUCCUUAACCACUAGGCCACCAGGGAACUCCCUCUGAAGCAUUUUUAAGUCUACCUUUCAGGAAUGUUAAGUAUAUUCACAUUAAUGUUCAACAAGUCUCAGGAGUUUUUUCAUCUUACAAAACUAAAACUGUAUGCAUGUUAAACAACAGCUCCCCAUUUCAGUGCCCCCUCUGGCCCUGCUCACUACCAUUCUGCUUUCUGUUUCUAUGAACCCAGUUACUUUUUUACCUCAUAUAAGUGGAAUCGUAUACUAAUUGUCUUCUUGUUUCACUUAGCUUAACAUCCUCCAGGUUGAUCUAUGUUACAACAUAUGACAGAAUUCCCUUCCUUUUAAAUGCUGACUAAUAGUUCAUUGUAGGCAUAAACCACAGUUUAUUCAUUCAUCCAUCAGUGGACACUUGGGCCGCUUUUGCCUUUUGGCCAUUGUGAAUAAUGCUUGUAUAAACGUGAGUGUUCCCUUUUCCCUUUGAGUACUAUAAUAUUCAAAUGAUGAUAAAGGAACUUGAUAUGUGGGGGGGGGGUGAGAUAAAAUCCACAAUCUCUGUUAGUUGAAUACUUUCAAAAUUUUAUGCUUGUUACAUCCUAUAGCCCAUCUCCUUAGUGCUUUGAUCUCAGAACUCUUCAGAGCUUUGAUCUCAGAGACACAGGAAUAAGUUGUCAAACAAAUCCACUCAGUUUUCUAGGAUAUUAAUGCAUACAUGAGGAAGAAUGGUAUCUGUCGAUUCUCUCCACAGAGGAAUAUAAUUUUAACAUUAAAAACACACAAGUCAAUAGAAGAACUAAUUACAUUUGAUGCUGGAGACAUUGUUUUAUACUGCUUCUUACAGCAGGAAAUAAUUGGGAAUUCAACCCUGAACAAUCCUAUCUCUUGAAAAUAUUGUUCGAGGAAAGCUACUGCCAAAUCCAAUCAAACCUAUUUUCCUUGCCAUUGAUAUGGAAGCUACAAAGUGAAUGGAAGCCACUGAAACACCUACAUGCAUGAACUGUAAGAGCUCCACUGGGCCCCUAUUUCAAUUUCCACAUCUCUGCUUGUUUUGAAGCAAUCAUUGCCAUUGACAUGUCAAAUAUAUUCUUUUCUUACUGAGAAGAAAAACACCCAGGCUGCUGUAUCAGCUUCUCGGUAAAAAUAAAGUGGCCAAACUCUCUUUUUCGAAGAGAGCAGCAAGAAGGGUAUCCUUCGGUAGCAUAAAGUUAUAUGUAUUUUGAUUUAUAAUUCACCCUUUUCCAACAAAAUUUUAACAUAGCUAAAUUAAUUUUAAGUUUUCAUUUUUUUUAAAUUUCACUUUUAACAAGGUGGUUUCAGGGUUUCCAUAAAUUUCUGAAUGUUUACAAUAGACAGAUACUUAGACUUGAGGUUACCGAGGGGGAAGGGAGCAGGAUGGACUGGGAAUUUGGGGUUAAUAGAUGCAGACUGUUGCCUCUGGAAUGGAUAAGCAAUGAGAUCCUGCUGUAUAGCACUGGGAACUAUAUCUAGUCACUAAUGAUGGAGCAUGGAUAAUGUGAGAAAAAAGAACGUAUACAUGUAUGUGUGACUGGGUCACCUUGCUGUACAGUAGAAAAUUGACAGAACACUGUAAAUCGGCUGUAAUGGAAAAAAAAAUUAAAAUCAUUAAAAUAAAAUAUUUUCAGUUUAUACAAAAAAAAAUCAUCCACAUCUAGAAAAUCAAUCAUUUAGAUGUCAGCUGGCUUCUGUGGGAUAACUGCUUUGUAUUACCACUCUCUCUUCCAAGAUGGUGUUUGAAUAUAUGGAAGAGAGGGGUAUGGCCUGUGUAAGCAGUAGAAAGAAGAUUCCAUCCUUAAAUUGUCCCAGUGUCUUCUGGAUCCUGUCUGCCCUCUACUGUAGGAUGGAUGAACUGGUGUGCUUUCUAUACUAAUGUGCCUUAAUGUCGAUCUAAUCCCUUCUGCUAAUUUGGGCUCAGUGUGCUAAUACAAGACAUGGCAUCCCAUCUCAUGCCUUGAUUUCAGGUGUCAUUGGAAGUGGAUGCAACCAAUACCUCUCUCCCUUUAACUCACUGACUUAUCUGUACCCUAGUAGUGCAGGAGUUAAUGCUACUGUUAUGAUGUAUGCAGGCUCCUUAUCUAUCUGGGUAUUUAUAAUCACCCUCAUCCCUUGAGAGAAGGGGUGAGUGUCUCAAGCACCCUUAAGUCUAUCCCUUCCAGCUCUCUUAUUCUCCAUGCAGUCUCUGCUUGGAAUGGUGUUGGGCCUGGUCUUCCUCAAGCUGCUCCUUUCCUCUCUUCUAGGGCCUUAAGUCUCAUGACCUAGUGAUCAUGUUGAGCAUGUACACUUUGGAAAGACCUAUAUGUGUCCUCCAGCCUCUAGCCAUUGCUUUUAAUUUGGAUGCUUUUGAUUAGAGAGCCACAUGAAAAAUUAGAGCUAGAGAUGAAUAGGAUUCAAUAUAUUUAUAUGAUAUCAAAAGUAUGCCAUUUCUGGAGUUCCUGUCAUGGCUCAGUGGUUAACGAACCUGCCUAGUAUCCAUGAGGUCGUGGGUUCGAUCCCUGGCCCCAUUCAGUGAGUUAAGUAUCCAGCAUUGCCAUGAGCUGUGGUGUAGGUCACAGGUGCAGCUGGGAUCCCAAGUUUCUGUGGCUGUGGCCUAGGCCAGCAGCUACAACUCUAAUUCAACCCCCUAGCCAGGGAACCAUCAUAUGCCAAGGAUGCAGCCCUAAAAAGACCAAGU